rnacentral:rRNA from 1 species
GACGAACGCUGGCGGCGUGCCUAAUACAUGCAAGUAGAACGCACAGUUUAUACCGUAGCUUGCUACACCAUAGACUGUGAGUUGCGAACGGGUGAGUAACGCGUAGGUAACCUGCCUGGUAGCGGGGGAUAACUAUUGGAAACGAUAGCUAAUACCGCAUAAUAUUGAUUAUUGCAUGAUAAUUGAUUGAAAGAUGCUAUUGCAUCACUACCAGAUGGACCUGCGUUGUAUUAGCUAGUAGGUGAGGUAACGGCUCACCUAGGCGACGAUACAUAGCCGACCUGAGAGGGUGAUCGGCCACACUGGGACUGAGACACGGCCCAGACUCCUACGGGAGGCAGCAGUAGGGAAUCUUCGGCAAUGGACGAAAGUCUGACCGAGCAACGCCGCGUGAGUGAAGAAGGUUUUCGGAUCGUAAAGCUCUGUUGUAAGAGAAGAACGGGUGUGAGAGUGGAAAGUUCACACUGUGACGGUAUCUGACCAGAAAGGGACGGCUAACUACGUG